AGCCUGAUGCAGCCAUGCCGCGUGUAUGAAGAAGGCCUUCGGGUUGUAAAGUACUUUCAGUUGUGAGGAAGGGGGUAACGUUAAUAGCGUUAUCUCUUGACGUUAGCAACAGAAGAAGCACCGGCUAACUCCGUGCCAGCAGCCGCGGUAAUACGGAGGGUGCGAGCGUUAAUCGGAAUUACUGGGCGUAAAGCGCAUGCAGGUGGUUCAUUAAGUCAGAUGUGAAAGCCCGGGGCUCAACCUCGGAACUGCAUUUGAAACUGGUGAACUAGAGUGCUGUAGAGGGGGGUAGAAUUUCAGGUGUAGCGGUGAAAUGCGUAGAGAUCUGAAGGAAUACCAGUGGCGAAGGCGGCCCCCUGGACAGACACUGACACUCAGAUGCGAAAGCGUGGGGAGCAAACAGGAUUAGAUACCCUGGUAGUCCACGCCGUAAACGAUGUCUACUUGGAGGUUGUGGCCUUGAGCCGUGGCUUUCGGAGCUAACGCGUUAAGUAGACCGCCUGGGGAGUACGGUCGCAAGAUUAAAACUCAAAUGAAUUGACGGGGGCCCGCACAAGCGGUGGAGCAUGUGGUUUAAUUCGAUGCAACGCGAAGAACCUUACCUACUCUUGACAUCCAGAGAAGCCAGCGGAGACGCAGGUGUGCCUUCGGGAGCUCUGAGACAGGUGCUGCAUGGCUGUCGUCAGCUCGUGUUGUGAAAUGUUGGGUUAAGUCCCGCAACGAGCGCAACCCUUAUCCUUGUUUGCCAGCGAGUAAUGUCGGGAACUCCAGGGAGACUGCCGGUGAUAAACCGGAGGAAAGGUGGGGACGACGUCAAGUCAUCAUGGCCCUUACGAGUAGGGCUACACACGUGCUACAAUGGCGCAUACAGAGGGCAGCAAGCUAGCGAUAGUGAGCGAA
rnacentral:rRNA from 1 species